rnacentral:rRNA from 1 species
UACGUAGGGUGCAAGCGUUGUCCGGAAUUAUUGGGCGUAAAGAGCUCGUAGGCGGUUUGUCGCGUCUGCCGUGAAAGUCCGGGGCUCAACUCCGGAUCUGCGGUGGGUACGGGCAGACUAGAGUGUGUAGGGGAGACUGGAAUUCCUGGUGUAGCGGUGAAAUGCGCAGAUAUCAGGAGGAACACCGAUGGCGAAGGCAGGUCUCUGGGCCACUACUGACGCUGAGAAGCGAAAGCAUGGGGAGCGAACAGG